GGGCAGGAAAGAUUUCAGAGUCUUGGUGUGGCUUUUUACCGUGGUGCUGAUUGUUGUGUUCUCGUUUAUGAUGUUAAUGUCCAGAAAUCAUUUGACAACCUGAACAAUUGGAGAGAAGAAUUUCUGAUUCAGGCUAGCCCGUCUGAUCCAGAAAACUUCCCAUUCAUAGUUUUAGGAAACAAGAUAGAUGUUGACGGUGGUAAUGGCCGGGUGGUCUCAGAAAAGAAGGCAAGGGCAUGGUGUGCGUCAAAGGGGAAUAUUCCGUACUUUGAGACAUCUGCUAAAGAGGGAAUUAACGUUGAAGCUGCUUUCCAGUGUAUAGCUAUGAAUGCUCUCAAGAAUGAACCAGAAGAAGAAAUAUACCUUCCGGACACUGUUGAUGUGUCGGGUGGGCGGCCACAGAGAUCCUCUGGUUGUGAAUGCUAAAUGGAUGCACUAUACACCUGCAGUUUCGGCAGCGAUUUGGUAUGCAGUAGCACUCUGUAUCUUAUAUCCCAAAAUUUAUUCGUUCUAGCUGUCUGGUGGGAUAUAACUUCAAGUAGCUUUUUACCCUCAAACUAAUUCAUUUGUGCCAGGAUAAUGAAUUGUUGUGCAGUUCUUGC
rnacentral:misc_RNA from 1 species